rnacentral:rRNA from 1 species
GACGAACGCUGGCGGCGUGCUUAACACAUGCAAGUCGAACGGAAAGGCCCUGCUUUUGUGGGUUUCUCGAUUGCCGAACGGGGGAGUAUCACGUGAGUAACCUGCCCUUGUCUGUGUGGUAACUUCUGGAAACUGGGGCUAUUACCGGAUAGGAUCUUCUGCUGCAUGGUGGUGGUAGGAAAGUUUCGGCGGUUGUGGAUGGACUCGCUGCUUAUCAGCUUGUUUGUGGGGUAGUGACUUACCAAGGGUUUGACGGGUAGCCGGCCUGAGAGGGUGACCGGCCACAUUGGGACUGAGAUACGGACCAGACUGCUACGGGAGGCAGCAGUGGAGAAUAUUGCACAAUGGGCGGAAGUGUGAUGCAGAAACGCCGCGUGCGGGAUGACGGCCUUCGGGUUGUAAACAGAUUUCGACUGUGACGAAGCGAGAGUGACGGUAAUGGGUAAAGAAGCACCGGCUAACUACGUG